GAUUAUUUUAUCAGGGGAACCUGGCCACCAUCCGUCUCCACGCCUCCAUCAUCUUUCACCUGAAAACUAUUUAGACUGCCAUUUUUCUAUCUUUCUCCCUCUCCCAUACUCCACGCCUAAACCCGAUGUACGCCGCCCUCAUUUCUUUUCUUUUCCACCUCCAUAAACCAACCGUCUACCAUCUAUUCUCCCUCUCUCUUACCAUCCAAAGUCCUUCCACACCUUCUAUCCUAUUUUUCUCCAUAAAUUUUUCUUCCUGGAAGUAAGAUGAAGGUGAUGAUGACGGACGAUGCCCUUUCUAUCCUAUUUUUCUCCAUAAAUUUUUCUUCCUAGAAGUAAGAUGAAGAUGGUGAUGACGGACGAUGCCCCUUUCAUGCGUGGCUAGACCUCUCCAUCUCGAGGAGGAGAUGAAAUUCUAUUAUAAACGGAUUUAUUUUCUUUCCCAAUCUUAUGUAUUUCUUUCAUGCAAAAGUAAUAACAUUUUUUAUUCUCUUUAUUCAUGCUUGUGUAUUUUUUUUUAGACUGAAUUAAAACUUUGAACAAUUCAUUUUUCAUGGAAACGCAUCGUGAUCCAAGGGAUAUGGCUCGUGCUCAAGAAAGAAAUAGAUUGUAUUAAAGUUUUAAUCCUUCUUCUUUAAAAUCGAAAAUUGGGAUAACCUAUACUCAUAAGGGGACGGGCUGUGAUCCAAGAUUAUGGUUCGUACUCAAAUAGAAAUAGACUAUACCCC
rnacentral:lncRNA from 1 species